rnacentral:misc_RNA from 1 species
AGUGGAGUCCAUCCUUUUUCAUCUUUUCCUUUGGCCAAACUAUUCUGUUUUUCCAAUAGCAUACGUACUGUCUCUGUAUCCCAGCGCUCUACUGCCUUAUGUAAUACCGUAGUAGUACCAUCAGGGCAAACAUAAUCCAGAGCUUGUGAAUCGGUCUUAUUUAACAGUUCAGCGACUAUAUUUGUACAUGUGUUAUCAACAGCCAAGUAAAGAGGAGUUUCCUCAAGAUUAUUUACAGGAUAUUUGAACUGAGGAUCUUCCUUGCUCAAUAUUGCUUUCACGACACCCAGACUUCUUCCAUUUCGUGCUGCCACAUGCAAGGCCGUUUCUCCCUUUUUAUUUACCUUCCUUAACAUCUCCCUCACUGCUUCCAUUUUCCUAUCUGCUGUCACUUCUUCGCCCUUUAUAUCAUGUAAUGCCUCUGCCUGUUUGAUUAGCUCUUCCGCUGCAUCAGUAUGCGCGUGCCUAGAUGCAAUGUGCAACGGAAUAUUACCGUCAGAAUUUCCCUGCAAUAAAAACUUCGGGCACUUGCAAACUACUUGUUUUAUAAACUCAGCAGAUCUUUUCCCUGCAAAGGAAAGAUGAAUAUGCAGUGUUGUGUUUCCAUCUGGUGUCACUAUGCAAUCAAGAUGAUCUAAAUGUUCAUUGAAUGGAUCAAAUUUGCCUUGUUCUGCUGCCUUCUUUAAGUCAUCUUCCAUGGAUGGGCGUCCCCUGUGGAGACAAUUUUUGCUAGCAUUUGACAUCUCCUUUGCAAGAAAGCGAAAGAAUUUGAAACAAGUUUGAAGUUGAGUAGAAGACUUGAUGAUUUAAUUGGGAAAAGGUUAAAAAAAU